CCCUUAGAUGUUCUGGGCCGCACGCGCGCUACACUGAUACGUUCAACAAGUUUAGAACCUUGACUGAGAGGUCUGGGUAAUCUUUUGAAUGCGUAUCGUGUUAGGGAUAGAUUAUUGCAAUUAUUAAUCUUGAACGAGGAAUUCCUAGUAAACGCAAGUCAUCAGCUCGCGUUGAUUACGUCCCUGCCCUUUGUACACACCGCCCGUCGCUACUACCGAUUGAACGGUUUAGUGAGGGCCUCGGAUUGGUCUCGGCCCGCUCUUUACCGGGCGGCGCCGUUGGUCGAGAAGACGCUCGAACUUGAUCGUUUAGAGGAAGUAAAAGUCGUAACA
rnacentral:rRNA from 1 species